rnacentral:rRNA from 1 species
UUGCAAGGGUAGCAUAAUAAUUAGUUCAUUAAUUGUGAGAUUGUAUGAAUGAAUGCAUGAAAAUAACGUUGUCUCUUUUUUAUUAAGUUAAAUUUUAUUUCUUUGUGAGAAAGCUAAGAUUUGUAAAUAGGACGAGAAGACCCUAUAAAUCUUUAAAUGUUGUAAUAAAAAGAGAUGUUAUUGUUUGAUUAUUUUGACGUGUUGACUGGGGCGGUAAGAAGAAUUUUUAAAUGACUCUUUUGUUAUUAUGGUUAUUAUUUUAAUUGAGUAUAUAUUUUUGAUCCUUUAAGUUUUUAGAGAUUAGUAGAUAAAGUUACUUUAGGGAUAACAGCAUAAUUUUUUUUGAGAGUUCUUAUUGAUGGAAGAGUUUGUGACCUCGAUGUUGGAUUAAAUAAAUUGAAGGUGUAGUAAUUUUUGUGUUUUUAGUCUGUUCGACUUUAAUAGUUUACACGAUUUGAUUCAGACCGG